ACCUGGCUGGCUCAGUCGGUUGAGUGUCUGACUUCAGCUCAGGUCAUGAUCUCAUAGUUUGUGGGUUUGAGCCCCACAUUGGGCU
rnacentral:tRNA from 1 species